AUUGAAAACAAUAAGUUCAUACAACCCCAAGAAUAUAAAAUAAAAUAUAAAACCCGUGUCCCUUUGUUAGGGCUGCAUCCAGCCCUAGUGAGGAGAUCAGCCCUGCAUGGUAUGGGAGGUGGUAGCGGUGACGCUGAAGGCUUCCAUCUCUUCUUUCCNNNNNNNNNNNNNNNNNNNNAUCUCUUCUUUCCUUCCUUUCCUGAUUCUUUCCUCCCUUAUGUUGGAACUCCCUGAUGAACAAGCCACAGACUUCUUCGGAUCAGAAAAGAGCUACCCCUUGUUCACGUCGACUCCCCCUUUUUAUAAGCUGCCCCACUCCCUCUCUCCUCCCCUAUUUUGAAUCACGGAUAAGGAUAGACCUUUGCUGUUGGCUGAAUGCAGGGAUUCGCUGGGCUACGAUCCGUGAAGCUCGGACGUUUGGAAAUCUCAGCUGCAGGUUCGGAUGAUGCUGAAACGCGGAAUGGCUUGCGGCUGCUUGGAGGAGGCUCUGAUCCGGACGUUGGGAUUUCUGUUCCUCUGUUACUGAAGUAGGGGAAGUCGUUUGGAUAAGGAUGGGAGAGAGCUGAGCCGGAUGCGUGGAAGAUGUGGAAGGAGGUAAUGAUCCGUGGAGGGAGGAGACGCUAGAGAUGAAUCGGAGGAGAUGAGAUGCUGUUUUGAGAGGAUAACUCUGUUCUGCCCGUGGAUGAUGGAGUUAAUCCGGAGUAGAGAAUCGUGGGAGGUGAUUUCAGAAUCUGGGAGGAACAAAGCCAAUUCGGACUGAUUAUGAGGUUGAGGAGUGAAGAUUUGCUGGGAGCGAACGGAAGAAGAGAAUGGCACGGAUGCAUUGGACGGGAUGCGGAAGAAGCUGGAUGGAUCCGUGAGCAGGGGAUGAGCUUGGGACGAAGUUAUUUGGGAUGCUCACGGGAUGAAGAUUGAAGUUG
rnacentral:lncRNA from 1 species